CACGUAGGGCGCAAGCGUUGUCCGGAAUUAUUGGGCGUAAAGAGCUCGUAGGCGGUCUGUUGCGUCCGCUGUGAAAACUCGGGGCUUAACCCCGAGCCUGCAGUGGAUACGGGCAGACUAGAGGUAGGUAGGGGAGAAUGGAAUUCCCGGUGUAGCGGUGAAAUGCGCAGAUAUCGGGAGGAACACCGGUGGCGAAGGCGGUUCUCUGGGCCUUACCUGACGCUGAGGAGCGAAAGCGUGGGGAGCGAACAGGAUUGAGAA
rnacentral:rRNA from 1 species